rnacentral:tRNA from 2 species
GGGCCUGUAGCUCAGUGGACUAGAGCACGUGGCUACGAACCACGGUGUCGGGGGUUCGAAUCCCUCCUCGCCCG